UUAAGUGACUAAGCGUACAUGGUGGAUGCCUUGGCAGUCAGAGGCGAUGAAGGACGUACUAACCUGCGAUAAGCCGUGAGCAGUCGGUAAGAGACAUUACGACUCACGGAUUUCCGAAUGGGGAAACCCACUUAGCAUAAGCUAGGUAUCGCUACGUGAAUACAUAGCGUAGCGAGGCGAACCGGGAGAACUGAAACAUCUAAGUACCCCGAGGAAAAGAAAUCAACCGAGAUUCCCUCAGUAGCGGCGAGCGAACGGGGAUUAGCCCUUAAGCAUCUUGGAAGUUAGUGGAACGGUCCUGGAAAGGCCGGCGAUACAGGGUGAUAGCCCCGUACACGAAAACAACCUUGAUGUGAAAUCGAGUAGGGCGGGACACGUGACAUCCUGUCUGAAUAUGGGGGGACCAUCCUCCAAGGCUAAAUACUCCUGACUGACCGAUAGUGAACCAGUACCGUGAGGGAAAGGCGAAAAGAACCCCUGUGAGGGGAGUGAAAUAGAACCUGAAACCGUGUACGUACAAGCAGUGGGAGCCCUUCGGGGUGACUGCGUACCUUUUGUAUAAUGGGUCAGCGACUUACAUUUUGUAGCGAGGUUAACCGUAUAGGGGAGCCGUAGGGAAACCGAGUCUUAACUGGGCGUCUAGUUGCAAGGUGUAGACCCGAAACCGGGUGAUCUAGCCAUGGGCAGGUUGAAGGUUGAGUAACAUCAACUGGAGGACCGAACCCACUAACGUUGCAAAGUUAGGGGAUGACCUGUGGCUGGGGGUGAAAGGCCAAUCAAACUCGGAGAUAGCUGGUUCUCCCCGAAAGCUAUUUAGGUAGCGCCUCGGACGAAUACUACUGGGGUAGAGCACUGUUUGGGCUAGGGGGUCAUCCCGACUUACCAACCCCAUGCAAACUCCGAAUACCAGUAAGUAAUAUCCGGGAGACACACGGCGGGUGCUAACGUCCGUCGUGAAGAGGGAAACAACCCAGACCGCCGGCUAAGGUCCCAAAGUUCUGGUUAAGUGGGAAACGAUGUGGGAAGGCUCAGACAGCUAGGAUGUUGGCUUAGAAGCAGCCAUCAUUUAAAGAAAGCGUAAUAGCUCACUAGUCGAGUCGGCCUGCGCGGAAGAUGUAACGGGGCUCAAACCAGGCACCGAAGCCGCGGAUUCACACUAAGUGUGAGUGGUAGGGGAGCGUUCUGUAAGUCUGCGAAGGUGUGUCGAGAGGCAUGCUGGAGAUAUCAGAAGUGCGAAUGCUGACGUAAGUAACGAUAAAGGGGGUGAAAAGCCUCCUCGCCGGAAGACCAAGGGUUCCUGUCCAACGUUAAUCGGGGCAGGGUGAGUCGACCCCUAAGGCGAGGCCGAAAGGCGUAGUCGAUGGGAAGCAGGUUAAUAUUCCUGCACGACUUGUAAUUGCGAUGGGGGACGGAGAAGGCUAGGUGGGCCAGGCGACGGUUGUCCUGGUGAAAGUGCGUAGGUGGUGUUUCUAGGCAAAUCCGGAGACACAACACUGAGACACGAGACGAACACACUACGGUGUGGAAGCCAUUGAUGCCCUGCUUCCAGGAAAAGCCUCUAAGCUUCAGAUUACAAGUCAUCGUACCCCAAACCGACACAGGUGGUCGGGUAGAGAAUACCAAGGCGCUUGAGAGAACUCGGGUGAAGGAACUAGGCAAAAUAGAACCGUAACUUCGGGAGAAGGUUCGCUCUUGACAGUGAAGUCCCUUGCGGAUGGAGCAGUUGGGAGUCGCAGUGACCAGAUGGCUGGGACUGUUUAUCAAAAACACAGCACUCUGCAAACACGAAAGUGGACGUAUAGGGUGUGACACCUGCCCGGUGCCGGAAGGUUAAUUGAUGGGGUUAGCGCAAGCGAAGCUCUUGAUCGAAGCCCCGGUAAACGGCGGCCGUAACUAUAACGGUCCUAAGGUAGCGAAAUUCCUUGUCGGGUAAGUUCCGACCUGCACGAAUGGUGUAACCAUGGCCAUGCUGUCUCCACCCGAGACUCAGUGAAAUCGAAUUCGCCGUGAAGAUGCGGUGUACCCGCGGCUAGACGGAAAGACCCCGUGAACCUUUACUACAGCUUGGCACUGAACAUUGAACCUACAUGUGUAGGAUAGGUGGGAGGCUUUGAAGGCGUGACGCCAGUUGCGCUGGAGCCGUCCUUGAAAUACCACCCUUGUAUGUUUGAUGUUCUAACGCAGGCCCGUGAAUCCGGGUCGCGGACAGUGCCUGGUGGGUAGUUUGACUGGGGCGGUCUCCUCCCAAAGAGUAACGGAGGAGCACGAAGGUUGGCUAAUCCUGGUCGGACAUCAGGAGGUUAGUGCAAUGGCAUAAGCCAGCUUAACUGCGAGACGGACAGGUCGAGCAGGUACGAAAGUAGGUCAUAGUGAUCCGGUGGUUCUGAAUGGAAGGGCCAUCGCUCAACGGAUAAAAGGUACUCCGGGGAUAACAGGCUGAUACCGCCCAAGAGUUCAUAUCGACGGCGGUGUUUGGCACCUCGAUGUCGGCUCAUCACAUCCUGGGGCUGAAGUCGGUCCCAAGGGUAUGGCUGUUCGCCAUUUAAAGUGGUACGCGAGCUGGGUUCAGAACGUCGUGAGACAGUUCGGUCCCUAUCUGCCGUGGGCGUUGGAUGAUUGAAGGGAGUUGCUCCUAGUACGAGAGGACCGGAGUGAACGAACCUCUGGUGUUCGGGUUGUCACGCCAGUGGCACUGCCCGGUAGCUAAGUUCGGAAUCGAUAACCGCUGAAAGCAUCUAAGCGGGAAGCGAGCCCUGAGAUGAGUCAUCCCUGACCCCUUGAGGGUCCUAAAGGGCCGUUGGAGACCACAACGUUGAUAGGUGGGGUGUGUAAGCGCGGCGACGUGUUGAGCUAACCCAUACUAAUUACCCGUGAGGCUUAACC
rnacentral:rRNA from 1 species